AUCGGCAGCUCGCUCUUUGCAACUCUCACAUGGUCGCCCACUGAAGCUAAGCAGGGCUGUGCCCAGUCAGUACUUGGAUGGGAGACCACAUGGGAAAGCUAGGUGGCUGCCGGAA
rfam:Danio rerio chromosome 23, GRCz11 reference primary assembly.